CCUACGGGAGGCAGCAGUGAGGAAUAUUGGUCAAUGGCCGAGAGGCUGAACCAGCCAAGUCGCGUGAGGGAAGAAGGCCCUACGGGUUGUAAACCUCUUUUGUCGGGGAGCAAAGAGAGUCAAGUGUGACUCAUUGAGAGUACCCGAAGAAAAAGCAUCGGCUAAACCCGUGCCAGCAGCCGCGGUAAUACGGAGUGUGCGAGCGUUAUCCGGAUUGAUUGGGUUUAAAGGGUACGUAGGCGGUUGGAUAAGUUAGAGGUGAAAUACCGGUGCUCAACACCGGAACUGCCUCUAAUAAUGGUGAACUAGAGAGUAGUUGCGGUAGGCGGAAUGUAUGGUGUAGCGGGGAAAUGCUUAGAGAUCAUACAGAACACCGAUUGCGAAGGCAGCUUACCAAACUAUAUCUGACGUUGAGGCACGAAAGCGUGGGUAGCAAACAGGAUUAGAUACCCGUGUAGUC
rnacentral:rRNA from 1 species